GUAAGUUCCAGUAAACACAGCUUGUUUUAACACGAGGAAAAGUGGUGAGAAAGUACAUUGUGGGUAAUCCUUGCAGUUUUAAUGACAAUAAGGCGCUCUAUCAAAACCACAUGCAGAAAUGUUGAAACAGCUGUAACCUGUUAAGACUCAGGGGUUGUUCUAAAGUGUCUGGAACUGGAUUGUUGGCGGGAGAUCUCUUGAUUAUUGUGAGUUGUGUCAGAGAGGUUUCAAGGAUCAGUUUACUUCUGGAGCAUCCCUCAAAUGCUUGAUUGAAUGUGGAGAUCUGGAGACCAAGGGGAGUUUUUCAAACUCUCAGUGCAGCAGGUAGCUACUGCCAUCAGGGAUGGAUAUUUGCAUGUGAGGUGUGCUUGGUCUGCAGGAGUCAUGGGUCUGAAGGUUAUGUCCACAUGAUUGUAGGGACCCAGCAUUUCCUAGAAUAACACUGCAUCGUAACUGAAUGACUCUUUUCCACUUUUCUUUUUUUUUUUAACUGAUCGGCAUAUACAUAAAGACCAUGAAGAACUGAGAAAUUAACUUUCGCUUUUUUCUAUCUUUAUAUUUUCUUCCAGGAGUCUCAGGUUCAGCAGCAUCUGCAGUAACACUUGGACCUCUUGUACUUGGGGAUGAUGAACUGGUGUACACUGUGGUUACUGGAGAUGGAGUUGUGGAGGAUCACAUGCUUGUAGGUCCUGCAGCAUCUUCGGGGGUUUCAGAUGUUGUUGCCAUGGCAGAGGUGGCAAUGGCCAAGCUGCGGACAGAAGGUGAAUCCUUAGCCACAGGAA
ensembl:lncRNA